rnacentral:rRNA from 1 species
GACGAACGCUGGCGGCGUGCCUAAUACAUGCAAGUAGAACGCACAGUUUAUACCGUAGCUUGCUACACCAUAGACUGUGAGUUGCGAACGGGUGAGUAACGCGUAGGUAACCUGCCUGGUAGCGGGGGAUAACUAUUGGAAACGAUAGCUAAUACCGCAUAAUAUUGAUUAUUGCAUGAUAAUUGAUUGAAAGAUGCUAUUGCAUCACUACCAGAUGGACCUGCGUUGUAUUAGCUAGUAGGUGAGGUAACGGCUCACCUAGGCGACGAUACAUAGCCGACCUGGGAGGGUGAUCGGCCACACUGGGACUGAGACACGGCCCAGACUCCUACGGGAGGCAGCAGUAGGGAAUCUUCGGCAAUGGACGAAAGUCUGACCGAGCAACGCCGCGUGAGUGAAGAAGGUUGUCGGAUCGUAAAGCUCGGUUGUAAGAGAAGAACGGGUGUGAGAGUGGAAAGUUCACACUGUGACGGUAUCUUACCAGAAAGGGACGGCUAACUACGUG